rnacentral:rRNA from 1 species
UACGUAGGGGGCAAGCGUUGUCCGGAUUUAUUGGGCGUAAAGAGCGUGUAGGCGGCCAGACAGGUCCGUUGUGAAAACUCGAGGCUCAACCUCGAGAUGUCGAUGGAAACCGUCUGGCUAGAGUCCGGAAGAGGAGUGUGGAAUUCCUGGUGUAGCGGUGGAAUGCGCAGAUAUCAGGAGGAACACCAAUAGCGAAGGCAGCUCGCUGGGACGUUACUGACACUAAGGCGCGAAAGCGUGGGGAGCGAACAGG